UACACUCUAUGGUAUCUGCCCUCAACAGUUAAUUCCUGCUGGUGCAUUCAAAAGACAGUGGGAUAAAAAUUCAGUAUCUGGCAUCAUUGGUUUUCUUGGCUUUGUGCCUGUUCAACCUGGUAUUUCUAUUGAUACUUUU
rnacentral:snoRNA from 1 species